rnacentral:lncRNA from 1 species
GUGCCUACGGACACGUUUCGGCUCCAGUUCUCCCCUCUGGUUUGCCUCCAGCUCUUGCGGACAACAUCAGCCCUCUGGGGACUUGGACUGAUUCUCCAGUUAGCGCAUACCUGUCCCACUCCUGUCUGCAAGAUUUGGAGCCCUGUCUGUGCUUCCAGUUCAGACUUCACCAGCCCUGCAGGGAGGACAAAGGCCCCUCCAGCCACCUCCUUGCUCAAGCUGCUUUCUAGAUCUCGGCCACUGCCCUAGCAAGAUGCCAGCCCCACCUGAUGUUGAUGAAGCUGCCUGAGGACAUGUGCACAUGCUCAGCCAGGAUCUCCAGCAGCUUCACUCCUGCAGCCAGGCUCAGGGGCCUGGAGAUGGGAGAAGGCAGAGGAAGGAAAGUGGGGCAACCCUCUCAGUCACUUUCUUAAAACAGGCCACUCCAGGGGUACAGAGCAGCCUGCCAAUUCCCUGUCCCUGCACGUCUGGAUUUCUGCCCUCUGCUUCUGGCCAGGCAGGCCAGCCCAAAUCCUAGCAGACCAGAAAGCUUCCCAGGAUGCAGCCCUUACUUCUGAUCAGUGACGAUGUAGCCAUAUUCCUCUGCUGCUGGGCGGGCUGAGGGCUGUCCUGCCACCGUGGGCUGGCUCUGGCCCAGUGGGCUUUUCUUCUCUAGCAGGACAGGUGUCACAGGGGGUCUGGCAGCUUUGGGAGGCUCAGAGGAGACAGGGCUUGGCACCUGCUGGACUUCACUGGAGGGACCACUGCAGUGCUGGGUACAGAGAGGACACCAGAGCAUCUGAGACAAGUACAGCUAUUGGAGCCAGACCACCUGGGUUUGAAUCCUGCCUUUGCUACUGAUGAAUUAUGUAACCUUGGGCAAGUUGCUGAACCUCUCCAAGCCUCAAUUCCCUCAUCAAUAAAAUGGGGAUUUAUACCUCCUAGGAUUGUUAUUAUCAUUAAAAUAACACAUAUACAUAUCAAACGGUUAGAAUAGUGCCUG